rnacentral:rRNA from 1 species
UACGGAGGGUGCGAGCGUUAAUCGGAAUUACUGGGCGUAAAGCGUGCGUAGGCGGACCGUUAAGUCAGAUGUGAAAGCCCCGGGCUUAACCUGGGAACUGCAUUUGAUACUGGCAAUCUAGAGUGUAGUAGAGGGGGGUAGAAUUCCUAGUGUAGCGGUGAAAUGCGUAGAUAUUAGGAGGAAUACCAGUGGCGAAGGCGGCCCCCUGGACUAACACUGACGCUGAGGUACGAAAGCGUGGGGAGCAAACAGG